rnacentral:rRNA from 1 species
UACGUAGGGUGCAAGCGUUGUCCGGAAUUAUUGGGCGUAAAGAGCUCGUAGGCGGUCUGUUGCGUCGGCUGUGAAAACCCGGGGCUCAACUCCGGGCCUGCAGCCGAUACGGGCAGACUAGAGUUCGGCAGGGGAGACUGGAAUUCCUGGUGUAGCGGUGAAAUGCGCAGAUAUCAGGAGGAACACCGGUGGCGAAGGCGGCAUCCUGGACCGGCAUUGACGCUGAGGAGCGAAAGCCAGGGGAGCAAACGGG